UUAGGCCUUUACUAAAUAGGAUAAAGGAGAACAUGGAGCUGUUCUUCUGAAGAUGAAGUUUCUGCCCCCUAAAUUAAGAAUCUUCUUUGACAAGUUAAAUUUACAAGUUCUUUACUUAUACCUUACACAUGAAGCCCACAUAUAAUUUAGAGCAAAACACCCUGUUCAGCAGAACACUUUCAAAAAGAAAACACAUCGAAAAAACACGUGUAGAACUAUCGGCAAAAAAAUUAUAAUGGCACACAAUGUUUCACUGUAGUUUACCACAUUUUUUCUUUUUAACAAUAUAUUAUGUCAUUUCCAUUUUCUUUAAUAAUUUUCAAAGUAUUUUCAAAGCUGCAUAUAUUUGUGAAAUGACAUUGAAAUGAGUCAAGUUUAUCAGUAACCUGUGUAUAGCAGGUAGCAAAUUCAAACAUAUUCUUUCCCAACAGCACUUUUUCAGUAGGAUAUUAUUAGCUGAAAGGUGUUUUAAAGUCAUGGCAUGAAGAAUCGUAAAUGUAAACCCAAGUACAUUGUGAUGCUAAUUAACGGACUUUUCUGAAAUGUAUGUGAUGCUUAAUAUUUUUCUUAGAAAGUUUUGUUUAAUGUUAGAUCAUUGUUCUGAAGGAUAUUAGUCCUACUGGAAUUAAAAUAAUGGAAAUAAAAUGCAUGUGUUACAAGUGUAGAAAUGGUGGAGAAUUACAUGUGAACCUACUGUACGAUACUGAUUCUGUUUUCAAACAAUCUGUUUUGCUGUUCAAUAGUUGACAUAAAAAUGCAAAUGUACUGUAAUUUAGCACUUUUCUAAUGGGCCCUGUUCUCACUAAACAAGUGAUAGGAAAUGGUUUUGUUGUGGAAGAUGUAAUCAUGCUUGCAUGAGUACAUCAAGGCUUUGCCCUUCUUGAUGUGUAAACACAACUUCCAUUAAUAUUAACAUAUUAGCCCUUAAAAUACUAACUCUUCCUAUGCGUUUGUUACACCACAUCUUAAAAAUAUUAUAAUUGGCCUAAAUGCAGUUAAAAGUUCAGAGUCUCUUUACAUGAUCUUUUUGCAGAAAGAUAUUUCACUGUCAAAUAGGUAGGCAGGUCAGGGUUGCCAGGGACAGAGGUUGUACAUUGCACUCUCAUUGUUCAGAGAGCUAACUAGUAUCAUUGUGAAUUUGCCUUUAACUUCUUCUCUCCCCAAGUCCCUGAUGAAAUGGGAUUGUUUCUUGAAGGACUGGCUGCCUUUCUUGAGUCAAGACUUCAUAUAUCCUGAUUAACAAUAUUAUCAAUCUUGUAUAGCACUGCCAUACAGAAAUGAACGUGGAGGUGCUUAUUCCCAGCACGUGAAAUAAAAUGCCAUGCCAUGCAGUACACUUUUACAUUAUCAACAGAGUGAAAAUGAACACAUUAAACCUGGUUUUCUGUUUUCCUCUUUGUUGUUAAUAGUAGCAUCCAUGAUCAUGGUAGUCCUGUUUAACAUUGUAUUGCCUGGAGGCCCCUGUUUGCUUGUAAGCUCUGAAAAUACAGAUGCAAGACUGGGGUAGAGACAGGGAUAUAACAAAGGAAUGAGUAAGAAGUGUCUGGUUUCAGGAGUCCUGGCUUACAAGAAGGUCAUAGCCACUAGGACUGGUAGGGGUGAUGUCAGCAGGAACCACAGCCAGCAGAACAAACAAAAAAAAUCUAGUCUUGGAGAUGCUGCAUGGGAAGAAGCAGCAACAAGCUUCUGUCCUUGCUGGGCGUAUACUCUGUUGGAGACUAGUCUGAGACAGGUGCCCAUGUUUAUGGAGUUACAAGGAUCUCAGUGGUGGUACAAGGGAGGAGGGAAGAAGAUCAAGAGUCCCAUGGGGGCUAGGUGAGAUGCUGUUUGAAUGACACAGACCUGAUUGGGAGAUAGGCCAAGAUGUUGAGAUGACAGCAAAAUACAAAUUUGUUGGCAAAGGGAUAAACUUGAGAGUGAUCCACUUAAAUAUGGGAGCUAAAAACAUGCUGGUGGACAAGGCAUCAUGAGAUAGGAUGCGAAGAAAAGGCAAGAUCAAGGACAAACAAAGGUGACCUGAGAGAAGCAGAUGAGACAGAAGGCAGCAAAGGAGGGAUUUGGAUGUGUGUAAACAGCAGGUUUAAAAAUACUGUAAUGGAGGGAGGGCAACAAGAGAAGUGCCAAUAGUAGCAAUAAAGGAGGGAGGUAGAGGUUGCAGAAAUGAAACAGGUUAAGAGGUGCUGUGGACAAGGGCUGAGGUAGCAGCAAAUGGGGAGUAGGAGGAGAGUGUGAUUUAAGAAGAUGGGUCCACAAGCAGAGUGGCAGUUGUAGAGGUCCUGGCCAUUUUCAAUCCUAGUUAUCUGAAGUUCCUGUAAGCUAUAGUGCAAGGCAGAAGACAGUGAUGUUGUCUUUGUACUGUCAUUUGGCCCUUGUGAAGCUCCAGUAUCCUGGGGAGUAGGGGCAGGCUCUCUCCCCCUAGGAAGCACUCAUUUCCCUAGGCUUAGCUCCCUUCCAUGGAGUGGACACCAUCCUGCUCACCAUACACCAAUAUGUUAAAACAUAGAAACCUUCAGAUUCAGACUGAGGCAGGAUCUCCUCCACACCAGGCAUCAGAUUCAAAGGGCACUCCCUCACCAUACAGACUCCAUGAAAUAACACAAAGAGUGAGUUUCAAGAAAGCUAAGGCUGGAGGUGGGAAUGAGUUCAUCUUUAUAUUUUGUAGUUUAUUUUUGUUUCUCUCAGUUCCUUCACCUCCAAAUCUGCAAGUUAAAAGUUUCGUAUAUGAUGCUGCCAAAACACACACACACAAAUUUGGGCAGGCUUUCUGAGACCAUGUAAAUAUCAGACCCUGAAUUUCAAAGGAAGGGAGGAGAUAAACUACCAGCCAAGUUCCUCUCAUAGGAGAAAUUAAAUCUACAGCCUAUCCUAGUGUUAACAGGGUACAAGGUGUUACUUGUCACGUACUGUACUGAAAGGUUUCAUUGAUCAGUGACUGUAUUGUACUGUAUGAAAAAUCAUCAAUUGCCUUGUAUUGUUUAUAAUGGACUGUACCAUAUACUACACAAAUUUCCAUAUUCCAAGUUUUUCAAUGAUGCAUGUUGCCAGUUAGGUCCUAAAACUAUGUGGUGCUAAUUCUUCCAUAUCCAAUGGUGCUUUUGUGGAUGCUAACUGCAGACAUGCUGAACAAAAGCUUGAAGUUUAAAAGUCUUUCUUGUCUGUUUGUAUAAUGUAAACACACACACAAUGAUGAUAAACUUGAAUUUGUUUCAAAGUAUCAUUGACAAUCUAAUGUUUUCUAUGUGUGCUUGAUUUGGGUUUGGAAUUGUUUUUUUUCCAGAAAGCAGCUGUGUUUCUACACAAUACACACUGGUAUUUCUUCUAGGAGAUGAUUUCACCUCACAGGGCCAAGAAUCUGUCCAACUCCUCAGGUAGUUGAAGUUGGUUGACCCUUUACCUGCUUUUUGCACCAGUUUCAUUCACAUGAAUUUAGCCAUUUGUUUUCUGAUGUGAAUAGGGUGUACAGGCCUAAAAAGGACUCCAUCUCUUAAGCAUUAACAGUCCUCAUACUGCCUCAGCAUUGUGCAUGUCAUGUAGCUUGGUCUUCUGCUUGCAUCACAGUUGCAUGAUUGUGUCUAUGCCAGGUCCUUACAACAACUUCAGUCUUAUUCAGAAGCAAACCAAAGAGCACAUAGUAGUGCACCUCUUGCAGCCAUGCAAAAGAGCUAGGUGCUUUGUUCAUUCAGUGAGUGAAAGGUGGGAAUAGGAAUUCUUCAGAGACUGCCCACUUAGCCAGAAAGGAAAGAGAGUAUUUUUGCAGCUGCUGUUUGGGCCUCAUGCAGGAGUAAUACUGGCAGCUUGCUCUACUCUGGGGUAGAAAGAGUGGUAGUCACUGCACAGUUCCCUGGGUGAAUACUGAGGAGAUGGAAAAUUUACCAAGACAAAUUAGGAACAUAUUUUGUGUAUUGUAUAAUGAAGAAGUGUGAUAGUAAAGACGUUGGGUGGAUUUGUUGGCAGCACUAGAAAUUCACCCUGGAAGCCAUUAUUUGAGCAUUGCAUAUAGAUUCAAACGCAUUUCUUCAUCUUUUUAAUGCUACUUCUGCCCAUUCAAGGUAAGAUGGCUUAGUCACAUGUAAGGUCUAUACCCCCAGCUGUUCUGUCAUAUAUGAAGUACAAAUGAAGAGAAAACUUGGUUUUCACUACUUAUUGUUCUUUAGUCUUUGUGGACACGUGUCCCACAGAUAAAAAUGAGAAGCAGCUGUCUAACUUGUGAAAUUGAUGGCUUUCAGGAGUAUCAGAUCCAAGUAGCUAAGUUUGUCACAGCUUUGACUGUCAAAUCAAUGCUUCUCCCAAUCUGUCAAAAUAAAGGCAAUGUCUUUGGUAGUAAUAGAUUUUUUCUUAUGAAAAUCGAUAGCCAGAAGCCAAGAAAAGGAAAUGGUAGAUAGGAGACUUAAAACUAACUAGAAAAGGAUUAGUCUUAGAGAGAACCAGAAUUACAAAUGCAUAGAAUUUACCAAAUCUACACUAGGAAGACUGUGUUUCCAUAGUAUUUUUGCUGCAGUUGUUGGACACAUUCAUUUUACACUAGUGUAGAUUUAGUGGAAGCUCGAACCACUGCAAGGAAACAUCCAUUUUCCUGAUGGGGUCUUCAAACAUCUCUGCCAGCUGAGGAGCCUACAUUCUGAUUGUGGAGUGCCUUGGCCUAUUGGAUGAAAAGAAAGAAAGAAACAAAAGACACAAGCUGCUUUUUAGGACAAAAAAAUCAGAAUAUAUUUUUUAUCUAUUUGAAAAAAAGUCUGAUAUUUACCCCUGUUAUCAACUGAAUUUGCAUAUGGUUGUUUGCCACAAUAUCUGUUCUGUCUUAAAAUAAAUUUGCUUACUUGUGUAGUCUUAACAGUUUGGUUUCAUUUUUACAAUCUAAUUUUACCUUAAAAUAUUAAUUGGGAAGCAUCCUUAAAUUUUCAAUCUUUUGGACGUUUUCCAUUAAAUGUCCUGGAAGAACAUCUAUCUAUCUAGAAGGGAGAGAAACCUCAUAAAGAGGUUAAGUCUUUGUAUUUUUGCAAUUAUUUUUCUAUUUGCUAAUUUUAUUUCCUCUUUUCCUGCCCUUCCAGUAGCUUUCAUCGUUGAAAUCAUCUAUAUGGUCAGGAGCCAUGUCUGCUGACCAGGCAGCAGAUUAUACCAGUUCAACAAACACAAACCAGUUGCCACUUUGGGUGGGAACAAACCAAAACUGAACCAAAUAUCAGAAAACAUUUCCUCUGAUUUCUUCCUUGUCAAUAGCCAACACUUGGGAUUUUAGGGAGCCCAUGUUUUACUAUGGUUGCAAUGUCCAUCCUUUUUCCCCAUAGAAUCUGUUUUUCUAUUGCAUCUCUUGGUUAUAGGGCUAGUACAUAGGCUUCCCACAGAACUCUCUCUUUCAAAGUGAUACUUUAAAAAAUCUAGCAUAAUCAGAAUAUUGAACCUGUUUUAGUAUUUUCAGUUUUCACCAUACAGGAUCUUUAUGCAUAGGAUCAUAAAAUGGGGACCCCAGGACAUCAUCUAGUCCAACCUCCAUUCAAGGCAGGAUCAGCUAUGCCUAAAUCAUACUAGACAAGUGUUUUUUCUAACCCAGGCAUUAGCAAUAUUUUGGAGCAGGGGGUCAGUAUAACAGAGACAGACCUUAGCACAAGCUACUUUCAACCUGGCCUCUUCUGUCACAGCUGUAAUUACUGCCCCCCACUCCACUGCAGUGCCACCACUGCAGUUUCUGCCUAACACCUAGCCACCACAGAGGUGAAG